UGAGGAAUUUUGCGCAAUGGCCGCAAGGCUGACGCAGCAACGCCGCGUGGGUGAUGAAGGCCUUCGGGUCGUAAAGCCCUGUCGGGUGGGAAGAUCGUGCCCUUGGUGAAUAUCCGGGGGUAUUGACGGUACCACCAGAGGAAGCACCGGCUAACUCCGUGCCAGCAGCCGCGGUAAUACGGAGGGUGCAAGCGUUAUUCGGAAUUACUGGGCGUAAAGCGCGUGCAGGCGGCUUCGGAAGUCUGAUGUGAAAGCCCCGGGCUUAACCCGGGAAGUGCAUUGGAAACUCCGGGGCUUGAGUGCUGGAGAGGAAGGGAGAAUUCCCGGUGUAGAGGUGAAAUUCGUAGAGAUCGGGAGGAACACCAGUGGCGAAAGGCGCCCUUCUGGACAGCAACUGACGCUGAGACGCGAAAGCGUGGGGAGCGAAACAGGAUUAGAUACCCUGGUAGUCCACGCCGUAAACGAUGAUCACUAGGUGUAGCGGGUAUUCAUUCCUGCUGUGACCG
rnacentral:rRNA from 1 species